GAGGGGGAGGGAAUAAUGGUAGAGCACGUGCUUAGUAUGCACGAGGUCCUGGGUUCAAUCCCCAGCACCUUCA
rnacentral:tRNA from 1 species